rnacentral:sRNA from 1 species
AAAAUGCCCGCGUUAGCGAUUGUAGCGGAAAUCCUUUUUUAAAGCGGAACAAAGUGGCGCUGUAAAAAAGAUUGCAGCGGAAAGCGCGGCCCGCA